rfam:Bacillus alcalophilus ATCC 27647 = CGMCC 1.3604 strain AV1934 contig00015, whole genome shotgun sequence.
AGUGAUGGUAGAGGCGCGAAAACCAAUAGUAGAGUUUCGGAGGACAAUGAGGUCUGAGGAAGAGACUUAAAAGGGGAAUUCGCCGAAGUGUAAAAGGAACUCAUUUUCUUUUAUGCUGGACUUAUGUUUAAGAGGCAUAAGGCUGUCACAUAACUAAACCCAAGGUUAUGUGGAGAACUAUCUCACGU